rfam:Acidovorax sp. 12322-1 scaffold3_Contig_1, whole genome shotgun sequence.
GAAGUUCGCCAGACUGCCGCUGGUGCAAGCGUGGAAACACGGCACUGGAGGAACGUCCGGACUGCAUAGGGCAGCGUAGCAGCUAACAGCUGUCCACCGUGAGGUGAGGAUCAGAGCAACAGAGACGUAGUCUUGGGGGCGUACCGCAAGGUAAACCACCAAGGGUGAAACGGGCAAUCUCUACGCGCAGCAAUACCAAGUAGGCACACGUUGACGGGGCCCCCGGAGUGUGCGGGUAGGUAGCAUCGAGCCAGUUGGGCGACCACUGGCCCAGAGUAAUGGCAGUCACGCAGCGGGUAACCGCUGUGCACAGAAUCCGGCUUAUCGGCGGACUUCACAC